GGGGAAUAUUGGGCAAUGGGGGAAACCCUGACCCAGCAACGCCGCGUGAGGGAAGAAGGUUUUCGGAUUGUAAACCUCUGUUCUUGGAGAAGAGAAGAAGACGGUAUCCAAGGAGGAAGCCCCGGCUAACUACGUGCCAGCAGCCGCGGUAAUACGUAGGGGGCGAGCGUUGUCCGGAAUGAUUGGGCGUAAAGGGCGCGUAGGCGGCCGAGCAAGUCAGUAGUGGAAGUCCAAUUUUCAAGGUUGGAAGUGCUAUUGAAACUGCAGGGCUUGAGUGCAGGAGAGGUUAUCGGAAUUCCCGGUGUAGCGGUGAAAUGCGUAGAGGUCGGGAGGAACACCAGUGGCGAAGGCGGGUAACUGGACUGCAACUGACGCUGAGGCGCGAAAGUGUGGGGAGCAAAC
rnacentral:rRNA from 1 species